AGGUUACUGCUAUCGAGGUUCGACUAAGCCAUGCGAGUCGAAUGCCGCAAGGCAUGGCGUACUGCUCAGUAACACGUGGACAACCUACCCUUUGGACGGGGAUAAACCCGGGAAACUGGGUAUAAUACCCGAUAGUCCUCGAAGGCUGGAAUGCGUCGAGGACGAAAGCUCCGGCGCCGAAGGAUGGGUCUGCGGCCUAUCAGGUAGUAGUGGGUGUAGCGUACCUACUAGCCUACGACGGGUACGGGUUGUGAGAGCAAGAGCCCGGAGAUGGAUUCUGAGACACGAAUCCAGGCCCUACGGGGUGCAGCAGGCGCGAAAACUUUACAAUGCUGGCAACAGCGAUAAGGGAACCUCGAGUGCCAGGUUACAAAUCUGGCUGUCGAGAUGCCUAAAAAGCAUUUCAUAGCAAGGGCCGGGCAAGACCGGUGCCAGCCGCCGCGGUAACACCGGCGGCUCGAGUGGUAACCGUUAUUAUUGGGUCUAAAGGGUCUGUAGCCGGCCGGAUAAGUCUCUUGGGAAAUCUGGCAGCUCAACUGUCAGGCUUUCAGGAGAUACUGUCUGGCUCGAGGCCGGGAGAGGUGAGAGGUACUUCAGGGGUAGGGGUGAAAUCUUGUAAUCCUUGAAGGACCACCAGUGGCGAAGGCGUCUCACCAGAACGGACCUGACGGCAAGGGACGAAAGCUAGGGGCACGAACCGGAUUAGAUACCCGGGUAGUCCUAGCCGUAAACGAUACUCGCUAGGUGUCGGCCACGGUGCGACCGUGGUCGGUGCCGUAGGGAAGCCGUGAAGCGAGCCACCUGGGAAGUACGGCCGCAAGGCUGAAACUUAAAGGAAUUGGCGGGGGAGCACAAUCUCUAGA
rnacentral:rRNA from 1 species